rnacentral:piRNA from 1 species
UCUAUUGUGGAUUCAGGUUCUGAUAAGA